UUAUGGAGUAACUAAAGUCGAAAAAUACGAACUACAGUUUAAAACUUAAAGAUUUUGGCGGUGUCUUAUCAAUCCAGGGGAACCUGUCUCAUAACUCGAUAACCCACGACACUCUCACCCUCCCUAGACCAAACAGCUUGUGUACUGCCGUCGUAAGCACACCUCUAAAAGCCGGGAAGUGUGCAAUAAUGAUUAUCUCACCCACGUCAGGUCAAAGUGCAGCCCAUGGGAUGGAGAUGAUGGGUUACACCCUAAACAAAGAUACGAAAUACAGCAUUAAGAGCUGUAUAAAGGAGGACUUGAGUGUAACAGUAUUACAAAAUUAAAGUGAAUUUGAAUCUAAGACAUGCACACAUCGCCCGUCACUCUCGCCUAAAGGCG
rnacentral:rRNA from 1 species